CCGGCACGGGUGAGUAACACGUAUCCAACCUGCCGUCUACUCUUGGACAGCCUUCUGAAGGAAGAUUAAUACAAGAUGGCAUCAUGAGUCCGCAUGUUCACAUGAUUAAAGGUGUUCCGGUAGACGAUGGGGAUGCGUUCCAUUAGAUAGUAGGCGGGGUAACGGCCCACCUAGUCUUCGAUGGAUAGGGGUUCUGAGAGGAAGGUCCCCCACAUUGGAACUGAGACACGGUCCAA
rnacentral:rRNA from 1 species